GUGGAGCAUGUGGUUUAAUUCNAUGCANNNNGAAGAACCUUACCUGGUCUUGACAUCCACAGAACUUUCCAGAGAUGGAUUGGUGCCUUCGGGAACUGUGAGACAGGUGCUGCAUGGCUGUCGUCAGCUCGUGUUGUGAAAUGUUGGGUUAAGUCCCGCAACGAGCGCAACCCUUAUCCUUUGUUGCCNNNGGUCCGGCCGGGAACUCAAAGGAGACUGCCAGUGAUAAACUGGAGGAAGGUGGGGAGACGUCAAGUCAUCAUGGCCCUUACGACCAGGGCUACACACGUGCUACAAUGGCGCAUACAAAGAGAAGCGACCUCGCGAGAGCAAGCGGACCUCAUAAAGUGCGUCGUAGUCCGGAUUGGAGUCUGCAACUCGACUCCAUGAAGUCGGAAUCGCUAGUAAUCGUGGAUCAGAAUGCCACGGUGAAUACGUUCCCGGGCCUUGUACACACCGCCCGUCACACCAUGGGAGUGGGUUGCAAAAGAAGUNNNNNGCUUAACCUUCGGGAGGGCGCUUACCACUUUGUGAUUCAUGACUGGGGUGAAGUGGUAACAAGGUAACCGUAA
rnacentral:rRNA from 1 species